CUACGGGGGGCUGCAGUGAGGGAUUUUGCGCAAUGGGGGGAACCCUGACGCAGCAACGCCGCGUGAGUGAAGAAGGCCUUUGGGUCGUAAAGCUCUGUCGAUAGGGAAGAAGUAUAUUGUAUAUAAAGUAUGAUAUAUUGACGGUACCUGUAGAGGAAGCACCGGCUAACUCCGUGCCAGCAGCCGCGGUAGCACGGGGGGUGCGAGCGUUAUUCGGAAUUAUUGGGCGUAAAGGGCAUGUAGGCGGAUUAGUUAGUCAGAUGUGAAAUUCCGGGGCUUAACCUUGGGCGUGCAUUUGAUACGAUUAGUCUUGAGUACGGUAGAGGGAAGCGGAAUUCCUGGUGUAGAGGUGAAAUUCGUAGAUAUCAGGAGGAACACCGAGGGCGAAGGCAGCUUUCUGGUCCGAUACUGACGCUGAAGUGCGAAGGCGUGGGGAGCAAACAGGAUUAGAUACCCCGGUAGUC
rnacentral:rRNA from 1 species